AGCGAACAUUGGCGGUAGGCUUAACACAUGCAAGUCGAGCGAGGCGUAAUAGUCGAGCGGCGAACGGGUGAGUAAUACAUGGAAAUCUACCUAGAAGUGGGGGAUAACGUUCAGAAAUGAACGCUAAUACCGCAUACGCCCUACGGGGGAAAGCGGGGGACCUUCGGGCCUCGUGCUAUUGGAUGAGCCUGCGUUGGAUUAGCUAGUUGGUAGGGUAAAGGCCUACCAAGGCGACGAUCCAUAACUGGUCUGAGAGGAUGAUCAGUCACACUGGAACUGAGACACGGUCCAGACUCCUACGGGAGGCAGCAGUGGGGAAUAUUGCGCAAUGGGCGAAAGCCUGACGCAGCCAUGCCGCGUGUGUGAAGAAGGCCUUCGGGUUGUAAAGCACUUUAAGCAGGGAGGAAGGCUCCGCAGUUAAUACCUGCGGGGAUUGACGUUACCUGCAGAAUAAGCACCGGCUAACUCCGUGCCAGCCGCCGCGGUAAGAC
rnacentral:rRNA from 1 species